GCAAAACUCAAAAACUUGUCUCAGUUCGGAUUGUAGGCUGAAACUCGCCUACAUGAAGCUGGAGUUGCUAGUAAUCGCGAAUCAGCAUGUCGCGGUGAAUACGUUCCCGGGCCUUGUACACACCGCCCGUCACACCAUGAGAGUUGGCAAUACCCAACGUACGUGAUCUAACCCGCAAGGGAGGAAGCGUCCUAAGGUAGGGUCAGCGAUUGGGGUGAAGUCGUAACAAGGUAAC
rnacentral:rRNA from 1 species